ACGAACGCUGGCGGCGUGCCUAAUACAUGCACGUAGAACGCUGAAGGAGGAGCUUGCUUCUCUGGAUGAGUUGCGAACGGGUGAGUAACGCGUAGGUAACCUGCCUGGUAGCGGGGGAUAACUAUUGGAAACGAUAGCUAAUACCGCAUAAGAGUAGAUGUUGCAUGACAUUUGCUUAAAAGGUGCAAUUGCAUCACUACCAGAUGGACCUGCGUUGUAUUAGCUAGUUGGUGGGGUAACGGCUCACCAAGGCGACGAUACAUAGCCGACCUGAGAGGGUGAUCGGCCACACUGGGACUGAGACACGGCCCAGACUCCUACGGGAGGCAGCAGGAGGGAAUCUUCGGCAAUGGACGGAAGUCUGGCCGAGCAACGCCGCGUGAGUGAAGAAGGGUUUCGGAUCGGAAAGCUCUGUUGUAAGAGAAGAACGAGUGUGAGAGUGGAAAGUUCACACUGUGACGGUAUCUUACCAGAAAGGGACGGCUAACUACGUG
rnacentral:rRNA from 1 species